rnacentral:rRNA from 1 species
AAGCGCUUGCAAUCAGACUCGCUUUCGGUUGAUCAGCGACGCCUUCUGGCGCGUGCACUCUGCCGUUUGCGGGCCAGCAUCAGUUGGAGCGGUGGGACAAAGGCGGCGGGAAUGUGGCUCUCUUCGGGGAGUGUUAUAGCCCGCCGUGCCAUGCCGCCAGCCCCGACUGAGGUCCGCGGUUCGCCUAGGAUGCUGGCUUAAUGGUUGUAAGCGA